rnacentral:piRNA from 1 species
UGCCCCUGAUGCUUCAGUCAUCCUACCUGC